CUCUUAUCAAGAGAGGUGGAGGGAUGUGCCCGAUGAAACCCGGCAACCGUCAGUUUUUAAACUGUAAAGGUGCCAAUUCACACAGGAGAGAUACCUGGGAGAUGAGAG
rnacentral:ncRNA from 2 species